GAAAGAAAAGGAACAUGGAUUAUCCCAUGUAGAGGUAUUUGUUUUUUUAAUGCUCCCAGCCUGGAUAUGGUGCACAUCACUUCCAUUCGUAUUCCAUGGCAACACCUAACUGCAAAGGAGGCUGGAAAAUAACAAUGAGCUGUGUGCUAUAGGAGGAAGACGAUAUGGGAUCCACAGGCUGCUAUCUCUGAACCCUCCAAGUUGAUGCCUGGAGCAUUUCCCAUACCUUCCAUGCCACUCUGAGGCUGCAGACCCUUCUGAGAUGAGAAAAUUAAAACCGAAGGAGAAGAAAGAUCUCAAGGUCGCCCACCUGGUAUUCGGCAGAGACAUCUCCAGAAUCAACUCAUCUAAACUCCACGUGGGACCCUUUCUCAUUAUACCAAGCGGUCUGGGGUAGAGGUGCGGGGGGCUGUCCCCAGGAUUACAGACAGCAAGCCCGUGACUGAACAGGCUGUAGGAACCAGAGCCAUGGUUUCAAGAGUUCAGGAGCAUACGUGAAUAAUGUGUUUCCUAAGGAGAAGAGAAGAAAAAACAACACUGAAACUAAUUACGAAGGUGUGCAGCAAAUUCAUUUUGGCCCAGCACAUGCUCUACUGUGAGAUCUGGCCAUCUAACCUGGUCUGAACUGAAUGCCACAUGCCUUUCAGUCCCAGUACCCAUCCACUGCUUGUACUUACCCUUACUUUGCUGCUUCCAUUUAAGGGCCCUCAGAAACAGGGAUGUGAAAUGCUUCAUGUAAGGGAAGGCACUGGGAAUAAACAGAAAAGAGAAUCUGGGAGUGAGGGAGAGA